AUUUUAUAACAGGGUUUUAUGAGAGAACCAUUUAAAUUUAGAAAAUCGACUUGUUCGUUAUUACCAUAGAUAAUGAUAAUUAAUCAUCGACGAAAGACGAAGAGCUGUUCCUGUAAAAAAAUCAGAAACACGAUAAAAGAGAAAUGUUGUCGAAGAAUUCUCAUAACUUGAAAUCCAAUUAAACGUAAACUAACAAAAAAGGAGAAAGAGAGGAACACGAUAGAAGAAUUUUCAUAACUUCAAGCCCAGUUAACCGAUGCCACGAAAUAAUAAGAAAAGAACGGAAAGAAUUAGCAUAGAAGAGUAUUCGUAUCUUUAACUUCUCCUACGAAACAAUUAAAAACAACGAAAACGAAAAGAGAUACGAUAGAAGAAAUUUCACUUCAAAUUCAAUAAACUAUUCCUCCGUAACAAUAAAAUAAGGAGAAAGAAACAGAAUGUUGAAAAUGACAACUUGAGUUCGUGCUCGCCAUCUGUAUGCAGAUGCGUUAGUUACAAUAAAUAGUAACUAGAAGAUAGUUCUAGGUACAAUCGAUAAAUUUAAUCGAUAGGUUUAAGAUGUCCUCUGGUUUUUUAUCCCUAGUUUAUGUAGGGAAGUGUAAUAUGAAGGUUUUUCGGUUCAGAAAGGUAUGAUAGAUUUAUCCAAAGAAUAAAAUAGUAGCUAUUAUGAUCCUACCUCUAAAUACAGAAAUAACAACGCAGAAAGAAAUAC